rnacentral:rRNA from 1 species
AUGAACGCUGGCGGCGUGCCUAAUACAUGCAAGUCGAGCGAACGGACGAGAAGCUUGCUUCUCUGAUGUUAGCGGCGGACGGGCGAGUAACACGUGGAUAACCUACCUAUAAGACUGGGAUAACUUCGGGAAACCGGAGCUAAUACCGGAUAAUAUUUUGAACCGCAUGGUUCAAAAGUGAAAGACGGUCUUGCUGUCACUUAUAGAUGGAUCCGCGCUGCAUUAGCUAGUUGGUAAGGUAACGGCUUACCAAGGCAACGAUGCAUAGCCGACCUGAGAGGGUGAUCGGCCACACUGGAACUGAGACACGGUCCAGACUCCUACGGGAGGCAGCAGUAGGGAAUCUUCCGCAAUGGGCGAAAGCCUGACGGAGCAACGCCGCGUGAGUGAUGAAGGUCUUCGGAUCGUAAAACUCUGUUAUUAGGGAAGAACAUAUGUGUAAGUAACUGUGCACAUCUUGACGGUACCUAAUCAGAAAGCCACGGCUAACUACGUG